UACGUAGGGGGCAAGCGUUGUCCGGAUUUAUUGGGCGUAAAGAGCGUGUAGGCGGCCAUACAGGUCAGCUGUGAAAACUCGAGGCUCAACCUCGAGACGUCGGUUGAAACCGUAUGGCUAGAGUCCGGAAGAGGAGAGUGGAAUUCCCGGUGUAGCGGUGAAAUGCGCAGAUAUCGGGAAGAACACCUGUGGCGAAAGCGGCUCACUGGACCAUAACUGACGCUGAUGCACGAAAGCUAGGGGAGCAAACAGG
rnacentral:rRNA from 1 species